GAUGAAGAACGUAGCGAAAUGCGAUAAGUAAUGUGAAUUGCAGAAUUCAGUGAAUCAUCGAAUCUUUGAACGCACAUUGCGCCCGUUAGCAUUCUAGCGGGCAUGCCUGUCCGAGCGUCAUUUCAACCCUCAGGGUCCCCGUUCCGGCGGGGAACCUGGUGUUGGGGAUCGGCCCGCCCCGUGCGGCGCCGUCCCCCAAAUUCAGUGGCGGUCGCGCUGCAGCCUCCCCUGCGUAGUAGUUACAACCUCGCAUCGGAGCUCAGCGCGGCCACGCCGUAAAACCCCCGACUUUCUGAACGUUGACCUCGGAUCAGGUAGGAAUACCCGCUGAACUUAAGCAUAUCAAUAAGCGGAGGA
rnacentral:misc_RNA from 1 species